rnacentral:rRNA from 1 species
UACAGAGGAGCCAAGCGUUGUCCGGAUUGACUGGGCGUAAAGCGCACGCAGGUGGUCGUGCAAGUGUCGUGUGAAAGCAGCUCGCUUAACGAGCUGAGGCCAUCGCAGACUGCAUAACUCGAGCCCGUGAGAGAUCCGUGGAAUUGCCGGUGUAGUAGUGAAAUACGUAGAGAUCGGCAGGAACACCCAAGGGGAAGCCAGCGGACUGGCACGGUGCUGACACUGAGGUGCGAGAGCGUGGGGAGCGAACCGG